UCGUACAUAAUAUUGUUACGCAUGUCGAACGAUCAAAUACAACGUUUUAUUUCGGCUAACCGUUGACGGAAAAUAACCAUUUAAAAACAGUCGAUUCGGUUAACCUCGGAUUUUUGGUAAAUUUAAUGUCGUAAUUAAUCGUUUAAAAUUUGACAUUAAGGAUCCACGGGGAAAUAGAAUUUAUCGGUUCAGAAAUUUGCUCUAUAUCCGAAAUUCGGAACAUUCUCACGGAUUAUAUUGUCGAAAGUUCUAU